rnacentral:rRNA from 1 species
UACGGAGGGGGCUAGCGUUGUUCGGAAUUACUGGGCGUAAAGGGCGCGUAGGCGGCGAUUCAAGUCAGGCGUGAAAGGCCUGGGCUCAACCCGGGAACUGCGUUUGAUACUGGAUUGCUGGAGUCCGGGAGAGGAUGGCGGAAUUCCCAGUGUAGAGGUGAAAUUCGUAGAUAUUGGGAAGAACACCGGUGGCGAAGGCGGCCAUCUGGACCGGAACUGACGCUGAGGCGCGAAAGCGUGGGGAGCAAACAGG